rnacentral:rRNA from 1 species
UACGUAGGGUGCAAGCGUUGUCCGGAAUUAUUGGGCGGAAAGAGCUCGUAGGCGGUUUGUUGCGUCGGCUGUGAAAUCCCGAGGCUCAACCUCGGGUCUGCAGUCGAUACGGGCAUCACUAGAGUUCGGCAGGGGAGACUGGAAUUCCUGGUGUAGCGGUGAAAUGCGCAGAUAUCAGGAGGAACACCGGUGGCGAAGGCGGGUCUCUGGGCCGAUACUGACGCUGAGGAGCGAAAGCAUGGGUAGCGAACAGG